GAUGAACGCUGGCGGCGUGCCUAAUACAUGCAAGUCGAGCGAACGGACGAGAAGCUUGCUUUUCUGAUGUUAGCGGCGGACGGGUGAGUAACACGUGGAUAACCUACCUAUAAGACUGGGAUAACUUCGGGAAACCGGAGCUAAUACCGGAUAAUAUUUUGAACCGCAUGGUUCAAAAGUGAAAGACGGUCUUGCUGUCACUUAUAGAUGGAUCCGCGCUGCAUUAGCUAGUUGGUAAGGUAACGGCUUACCAAGGCAACGAUGCAUAGCCGACCUGAGAGGGUGAUCGGCCACACUGGAACUGAGACACGGUCCAGACUCCUACGGGAGGCAGCAGUAGGGAAUCUUCCGCAAUGGGCGAAAGCCUGACGAAGCAACGCCGCGUGAGUGAUGAAGGUCUUCGGAUCGUAAAACUCUGUUAUUAGGGAAGAACAUAUGUGUAAGUAACUGUGCACAUCUUGACGGUACCUAAUCAGAAAGCCACGGCUAACUACGUG
rnacentral:rRNA from 1 species